GACGAACGCUGGCGGCGUGCUUAACACAUGCAAGUCGAACGGAAAGGCCCUGCUUUUGUGGGGUGCUCGAGUGGCGAACGGGUGAGUAACCCGUGAGUAACCUGCCCUUGACUUUGGGAUAACUUCAGGAAACUGGGGCUAAUACCGCAUAGGAGCUCCUGCUGCAUGGUGGGGGUUGGAAAGUUUCGGCGGUUGGGGAUGGACUCGCGGCUUAUCAGCUUGUUGGUGGGGUAGUGGCUUACCAAGGCUUUGACGGGUAGCCGGCCUGAGAGGGUGACCGGCCACAUUGGGACUGAGAUACGGCCCAGACUCCUACGGGAGGCAGCAGUGGGGAAUAUUGCACAAUGGGCGGAAGCCUGAUGCAGCAACGCCGCGUGCGGGAUGACGGCCUUCGGGUUGUAAACCGCUUUCGCCUGAGACGAAGCGUGAGUGACGGUAAUGGGUAAAGAAGCACCGGCUAACUACGUG
rnacentral:rRNA from 1 species